rnacentral:lncRNA from 1 species
UCUAUCUUUGGUCAACACUUGUUGAUUGAUACAUACCAUUUCAUUUAAUGCACUUUAUUUUCUUCAUUUCUUUCUUCUUCUUUUUCUUUUUUUGAUCAAUGAGUUAAAGAUUGGUGGUUAGCAUUGAUUAGGGAGGUUUAAUCUUCCUUGAUACAAAUCUAAUUCAUUUUGAUCAUGGAUCAAGUGAAUGGCUUUGCAUUAAGGAUAUAUUGCUUUCUAAAUCAUGCAAAGGACCUAAAUCAAUACAAGAUCAUUUCCCAUCUUUUUU